AUGGUGGCCUCCUUGUAUAGCCAGGCAGAACUGCUGCUCAAGGUAGACCUGGGAUUUAAACGCUUAGUGGAUCCCUGCUGGCCAGAGUCAAGUCUUCCCAGGGCUUCCACCACCAAGGAGGUGUAUAGCCGGGGUCUCUGUACCGGAGGGGGCACUGGACACCACCAAAGCAAGUCUGUGGAGAUCGACAAGCACCACCUGUCUCAUGUUUGCCUCAAUAAUGACCAAGGCAUGUUGGGAGUGGGGGUGACCCACCUGAGGAGGGGGGUUUCAGCCAGCGCCAAUUGCAGCCUGGCCUCCUUGGUGGGGAGCGUUACAGUGGAAGACAUGCAGGAUGUCGGUGAAUCUGUGGAAGACCUCCACGACCCAGGUGGCCAAGCUCGGAGGAAGGGGUGGUGA
rnacentral:lncRNA from 1 species